UACAUUAUUCAUUUUAUCCCUUUUUUUUUUCUAAAAUUAGAGCUCUUAAUUUUCUGUACUUGAUUCUGCAAAGAAGAUUUCGAUGUUUCGCAUAUCACGUGCUGAUCUUCCUCUGCAAAACUGGAUUUGGAUUAAUGGCGGCGUAACAUUCGAAUAACUAUAAGCGAUAAGCUUUAGUUAUGCAAACGGCGUAUUUUCUUCGCGGUUCUUUCUUAAACGAGUGUCGGUUGCCUAUCAAUCAGGCUUCCAACUAUGGCGACUCUCUCCCUCUGUGAUUAAUGGGCUCUUCAGGUUCUUGAUUACUCAUCAUCAAUAUUGUCGUUAGGUUCUUUCUUUGAUUACUCAUCAUCAAUACUGUUUCAACAUUGAUUACCUCGGUGGUUUAUCAUCUGGGUUUCGUGUAAUAAUUGUUUUUAAGUUAGAAACUGAAGAUUAAAUUGAUUGAUUGGUUGAUUGGUUGAAUGAGUUGAUUCCGCUUGUUCUUGAGACGUCCUGAAAAUUUGUGAUCUGGGUUACUUGUGUGUGUAGUUUUCUCUUUAGUUUUAAGAGUUCUGGAGAUUUAUGAUUGGAGAUCAUUGAGCUAAAACACUGGAUGCACGAUUUUAUUGGGGAACUCUUACAGGUUCUUAUAUUUUGGCCAAAAUUAGAGAUUAUUGAUCUGGGUGAUCGGAGAAAUCACAAUAUUGGACGAUGAACGCUGUAGGGAUACUAGGUAGUUACAUUUCAAAGGGUGUUUAUACCGUUUCUGGGCCAUUUCAUCCGUUUGGUGGAGCUGUGGACAUUGUUGUAGUCGAACAGCAGGACGGUAGUUUUAAAUCAUCGCCUUGGUAUGUACGGUUUGGGAAAUUUCAAGGAGUUUUGAAGACAAAGGAGAAGGUGAUCAACAUAGCUGUAAAUGGGGUUGAAGCUAAUUUCCAGAUGUAUAUGGAUCAUAAAGGAGAAGCUUAUUUUUUGAUGGAAGUUGAUGCUGAAGGAGAAUCUGGAUUGUAUUCUUCAUCUUCAGGCGAUGAGGCCGAGGGGAAAUUGCUGCAGGAACUCGAUGGUAGGAUCCUUGGUUCAAAAAGUUACAACUAUGAUGCUAGAAGUUCAAUAGAUAGGAUUGAAAAGAGUAAAGAUAAAGGGAAGAUAGUGACAAAGACUACCUCCCAACGACGGACACUUGGAUGGGGUCGUAAUUCAAUUAAAGAAGAUCAUCAUGAGGAUGCAUCUCUUGCGAGAAUAGACUCGCUGAAGCGUGCUGAGAUUGUAGCUGAUCUUUUAGAGGUUAGGUGGUCUACCAAUCUUCGCACACAAAAGCUUGAGAAAUCAGAUUGUUCCAAGUUUUCUUCCAUUAACACUUCAGAUGACAAGGAUGAGGAAAAGUUGAGGAGAGAUGAUGAGACAAGCCACGUGACAUCAACUGAUGAAGGUAACAUGGGGAAUAGUCUUGAUAAAGAUUGUGAUAACUCCGGCAGCGAGCACAUAACCAAUGGCUCUCAAUUGGAAUCGGAAGACGUAGAGCUGUUGACUGAGGUAACUAGAGAAUUGUCAAGUUUAAACACCGAGGAUAGAGUGAUUGAAAUUUGCACUAUAGAGGGAAAGGAUUUUGACGGGACAUAUGAAAUGAAAUCUGCACCAAGGGAUAUCGAACAGACUGCCAAAGAUACUGUGAAUGUGACAGGAACCAUCUCCGAAAAUGCAGAUUCCGAGUCCCAGCUUUUAUUGUUGAAGAACAGUGAUUCAUAUUAUGGAGAGAACUUUAUUGGACGCCACUUAUCUGAUGAAAUAAAUAUCGUUUCUCAAGUAUUCAACAUUUCUGAAGACAAGAGUGAAUCCGAUGCAGUCCAAUCCUUAAUGUUUUAUGAAACUUCCAAGAGCUCAAGGUUGACAAUGGAUGACUCAAGCGUACUGACUCCUAAAGCCUCCCACCCGGCCAAUGGAGGAUCUGGGAUCAUUGAUGUGCAUUCAAAGGGAUUGCACCUGGCAACUGAAGUUCAUCCUGAGUACACAGAUUCUAGUGUCGUAGCUGGAGAUUUUGAAAUAGAGACUGAAAAAUUUGAAGCCCUCGUGAACUAUUCUCAACAAGUGGAUCAUUGUAAUAGUUCUGUCUAUGAAGGCAACACAAUGGACCAAGAAAAGCUACCGACACUUGAAGCUUCAUAUACUCAAAUAGUCUCCACAGAAGAAAUGCAUGGUUCAGUUAAAGAAUUUAAGUCCGAUAGCAUAGGUUCAAGUUUCGGCUCGGAUUUUCAAGAUGACAAAAGUGUAGAUGGAAGUGUCAAAAGCAAGUUCCAAAUUUCUUCGAAUUCUAUCGGUAAUAGAGUCGUACCAAAAGAAAGUAACAUAAUACCAUCAACAAAUUCAGACGAUGAACAAUUCCUUUUCAGUGAUAUUGAUGUUUCAAAAGCUGAGCUAAAUGGUAAUAUAGAGUUAGACAGCCAACGUUACAAUGAUAAGGAAGAAUAUCCAUUAGCAUAUCCAAGUAGCAUUGAUGGAGAAGAUAGAUUUGUAAAUAGGAGUUGUGUAACAUCCAGUUCGCCAGAUAGUCGUGAGUUCUUCAAUCAGGGGAUUGCAAGUUCCAUCACAAUUCCUUCAAGUCAACCAAUCUCGAAUAAAGAAGUUGACCGUAUGGCAGCAUCACUACCUAAUAUGCAGGAUCGUAUUGAAAAUUUAAUUGCUGGUGAGAUCAGCCAUCCUCUAAGCCAUUCUGUGGACUCAAAUUCCAGAUCAUUGAAGUGGAUGGAAUCCUGUAAAGAUAAUGCAAGCUCCAAAUCUGGUAGAGAUGAAGAAGAUAAAGUGGCAGAGGAACGGUCAAGAUCUGAAGAAUCCUUGGUUUCAGAAGAACUCAAAAGUAUUAUUCCUAACUCUAGAGCGGGUAGUCCAGCAGAAGCAACUGUUGACCCAGUUGGAAAUUGGAAACUUUGGCCUUUCUCUUUUAAAAGAUCUAGUUCUAGGAAAGGAACUCAAUCAGCUGUUGAUGAUUACGUAGAUUUUGAUAUUAAGAAGACUUCAGAUAGGAACAAUGGAAUGGAUGGAGAAGCAAGAAUCUUUAAGCACAAGGCAGAAAAAAAGAUGGUUAAGUCCCUCUUGCCGACAUCUGAGCAGCUGGCAUCCUUAAAUCUCAAGGAAGGGGGGAACACAAUACUUUUCACAUUCUACACUGCAGUGCUGGGGAAACAGCAGGUUGAUGCCAAGAUUUAUUUGUGGAAAUGGAAUACUCGCGUAGUGAUAUCAGAUGUAGAUGGGACAAUAACAAAAUCGGAUGUUCUGGGUCAAUUCAUGCCCUUUGUUGGAAGGGAUUGGUCACAAACAGGCGUCACAAAUUUAUUUUCUGCUAUUAAGGAAAAUGGGUACCAAUUGCUUUUUCUUAGUGCACGAUCAAUUUCUCAGGCCUAUCAAACCCGCCAAUUUCUUUUCAACCUUAAGCAGGGUGGGAAGGCUCUGCCGGAGGGACCUGUUGUUAUCUCCCCAGAUGGGCUUUUCCCUUCACUAUAUCGUGAAGUUAUUCGGCGGGCUCCUCAUGAGUUCAAGAUUGAAUGCUUGGAGAGAAUUCGAGAACUAUUUCCUCCAGAUUGCAAUCCAUUUUAUGCUGGGUUUGGAAACAGGGACACGGAUGAAUUUAGCUACCUUAAAGUUGGAAUUCCAAUUGGAAAAAUCUUCAUUAUUAAUCCCAAGGGGGAGAUUGUCGUAAACCGUCGCUUUGACACAAAAUCGUAUACGUCACUUCAUACUCUUGUCAAUGACAUGUUUCCUCCCAUUACCUCGUCUGAGCAGGAGGACUUCAAUUCAUGGAAUUACUGGAAACUAUCACCUCCCUUGGUAGAUUCAUAAAGCUUUUUUUGCCUGAAAUAUGAGAUCCUUGAAUCUGUGCAUUACUGUGGUGGGUGGGUUUCUUUGCUAAACUCAUUGGUAGAGAUUAUUAAGCUUCUGGAUCCAUUGCUGAUUGCGCCCACCUAAUACAUCUUCUGCAGAAUCAGUUCAUAUUUCAUCCUGAUCUCUGCUGAGUUGAAACUUUUGUGUUGCAUACUGGAUAUAGGAUUAUUAUUGUACAGUGGUAAGCUCAUUGUAAGUAUGUAGUUUAAAUUCAUAGGUAAAAUAAUAAAUCUCCAUCAGUUUAUGUGUUUAUUUCCCUUUAGGAAGAAAGUGAGGAAAAGUAAAUAGAAUGGCUGUACAUUUCCAUGUACCUUUAGAAUUGCAAAGGAAUUUGCUUGCACCAUGGUGGCAAAAUUCAUCAUUAGUAGCAUUUGUUAUUAUUUUAUUCUAAUAAAGAAACAAAUAUGUGAACGUGAUUUUCUUUU